rnacentral:rRNA from 1 species
GAUGAACGCUGGCGGCGUGCCUAAUACAUGCAAGUCGAGCGAACAGACGAGGAGCUUGCUCCUCUGACGUUAGCGGCGGACGGGUGAGUAACACGUGGAUAACCUACCUAUAAGACUGGGAUAACUUCGGGAAACCGGAGCUAAUACCGGAUAAUAUAUUGAACCGCAUGGUUCAAUAGUGAAUGACGGUUUUGCCGUCACUUAUAGAUGGAUCCGCGCCGCAUUAGCUAGUUGGUAAGGUAACGGCCUACCAAGGCAACGAUGCGUAGCCGACCUGAGAGGAUGAUCAGCCACACUGGAACUGAGACACGGUCCAGACUCCUACGGGAGGCAGCAGUAGGGAAUCUUGGGCAAUGGGCGAAAGCCUGACGGAGCAACGCCGCGUGAGUGAUGAAGGUCUUCGGAUCGUAAAACCCUGUUAUUAGGGAAGAACAAAAGUGUGAGUAACUAUGCACGUCUUGACGGUACCUAAUGAGAAAGCAACGGCUAACUACGUG